AGAGUUUGAUCCUGGCUCAGAUUGAACGCUGGCGGCACGCCUAACACAUGCAAGUCGAGCGGUAACAGGGGUAGUAGCAAUACUACCUGCUGACGAGCGGCGGACGGGUGAGGAACACGUAGGAACCUACCCUCAAGUGGGGGACAACCAAGGGAAACUUUGGCUAAUACCGCAUAAACUCGAAAGAGAAAAGUUGCCGC
rnacentral:rRNA from 1 species